CCUACGGGCGGCAGCAGUGGGGGAUAUUGCACAAUGGGGGGAACCCUGAUGCAGCGACGCCGCGUGGGUGAAGAAGCGCCUCGGCGCGUAAAGCCCUGUCAGCAGGGAAGAAAAUGACGGUACCUGAAGAAGAAGCCCCGGCUAACUACGUGCCAGCAGCCGCGGUAAUACGUAGGGGGCGAGCGUUAUCCGGAAUUACUGGGUGUAAAGGGAGCGUAGACGGCGAGGUAAGCCUGAAGUGGAAGCCCGCGGCCCAACCGCGGAACUGCUUUGGGAACUGUUUUUCUUGAGUACCGGAGAGGUCAUCGGAAUUCCUUGUGUAGCGGUGAAAUGCGUAGAUAUAAGGAAGAACACCAGUGGCGAAGGCGGAUGACUGGACGGCAACUGACGGUGAGGCGCGAAAGCGUGGGGAGCAAACAGGAUUAGAUACCCCUGUAGUC
rnacentral:rRNA from 1 species